GCACUGCUGAUGAGACCCAACCAGGUCGAUACAGCUGUUCAGUGC
rfam:Echinostoma caproni strain Egypt genome assembly, scaffold: ECPE_scaffold0004512